CUCCACUUCUAUCGUUUCCAAAAGCAUGAAGGGAAAUGGAAGAAAAAGGAGAAGAUACCCAGCCGGACCAACCCCACUGAGACGCGCGAGGUCUUCUCCAAAUCGUUAUCGCUGAAACCCCCAAAAAAAUGGCGGCGUCAACGAUCUCCUCCUCCUCCUCAGCCGCCGCCGCCUGCUCUUCUUCGCUCUACCUCUCCUCUCCUCGCUCCUCCAAAAACCACUCAAGAUCCUCGCCAUUGACCCCCAAAAUGAAGCUAUCUUUCCUCCCUCCAAGCUAUCCAAUUGCCAAUUUUUUUUGAUCGCUUAUACCAUCUGAUCCCGAUCUGGAUUCAAGGCGAAUCCGUAAGACGAGAAUUGGGAGAAGCAGGGGUACGGGGCGAGGAGCUGAGCGUGGACGGGGUCAAGAAGCUCGGGAAGCGCAAGGUCCUCAGCGGCGUGGAGAAGGCCGGCCUCCUCUUCAAGUCUCUCCUCCGUUGAGAAGCUCGAUCGGGUUCUUCUCCAAGGCCGAGGAGCUCAGCCUCCUCGAGCGGGCCGCGCGCCUGUGCCUCACUCGCUGCCCUCGCCUCAAUGUCGCCGCCGUUCCUUCUCGCUUUUGUUGCCGUCGUGUUCGCGGCCGGCGCCCGCUCUUCGGUGGGGUCGGUCGUUCUGGGUGUCCUACGACAGUCCGACUGAAGGGCGACGUGCUAAAGGUCCGGUAUGGUGCUCCGCGGUGCACGUCUCGAGAGGCUGUGGAGGCUCAUCUACUUACAUGCCGAGAAAUGUGCUUCACAAACUUGAGCAACCAGAGAUGGAUGUAUGUAUAGCGAGUGCUGAAAAAAUAUCAUCCCAACUCCUGUCUUAUUAGCUGAUGCAGUCUCACAAGCUUCAAGUAUCUUUUGAGCAGAUGGCACAAUCAAUAAAUUGCUACCAUGUUUCCCGGUCCGUCACAUGGUAGCAAAUUUAUGUAGAUUCAUUUUUCUUGAUGGGUUUCGAAGAAACUCAAAAGUUAACUGCUUUCAAGCAUACUGAGUUCAAACAUUGCAUCUGUAAAGUUGGAUCAUGAAGUACCGGUGGUUGAAGAACAGCCGAGGUCAUCAACGACUUCUAACUUGUUUGAGUUUCGAUGCUUUGGCCAUCUUUCUUAUUUCUAGCUUUCCUAGAUAAUUUCUUAACUGAAAGUACAAAUGUUGUGCUGGCAUGUAAGUUACACAUUUACCAUUACCAUUUUCUAUAUAUGACUUGAGCAUGAUUAGUUUAGAAGAAGAUCUGGAU